rnacentral:rRNA from 1 species
CCUAGUAACGGCGAGUGAAGCGGCAACAGCUCAAAUUUGAAAUCUGGCUUCGGCUCGAGUUGUAAUUUGUAGAGGAUGCUUUUGGCGAGGUGCCUUCUGAGUUCCCUGGAACGGGACGCCACAGAGGGUGAGAGCCCCGUAUAGUCGGACACCUAGCCUCUGUAAAGCUCCUUCGACGAGUCGAGUAGUUUGGGAAUGCUGCUCAAAAUGGGAGGUAUAUCUCUUCUAAAGCUAAAUACUGGCCAGAGACCGAUAGCGCACAAGUAGAGUGAUCGAAAGAUGAAAAGCACUUUGAAAAGAGGGUUAAAUAGCACGUGAAAUUGUUGAAAGGGAAGCGCUUGUGACCAGACUUGUGCCGGGCUGAUCAUCCAGUGUUCUCACUGGUGCACUCGACCCGGCUCAGGCCAGCGUCGGUUCUCGCAGGGGGACAAAAGCUCCGGGAACGUGGCUCCUCCGGGAGUGUUAUAGCCCGCUGCUCAAUACCCUUGCGGGGACCGAGGUUCGCGCUCUGCAAGGACGCUGGCAUAAUGGUCAUCAGCGACCCGUCUUGAAACACGGACCAAGGAGUNNNNNNNNNNNNNNNNNNNNNNNNNNNNNNNNNNNNNCUCCUAAAGCUACCCACGACCCAAGCGGCCGCCGAAAGGCGCGCCGUGGCCAGGUUAACCGCCUGGGUACGGUAAUACUGUGGCAGAUACUACAAUGGACGAUCCGCAGCCAGCCCCUAGAGCGCUCCGGCGUACGGGGAGGGUUCACAGACUAGACGGUAGUGGGUCUGGCAGGCGCCGGGCUUAAGAUAUAGUCGGGGCCGGGCGGGAAACCGCCCGGGACAGCGCUAGUAGCUGGUUACCGCCGAAGUUUCCCUCAGGAUAGCAGUGUUGUUCUUCAGUUUUAUGAGGUAAAGCGAAUGAUUAGGGACUCGGGGGCGCUAUUUAGCCUUCAUCCAUUCUCAAACUUUAAAUAUGUAAGAAGCCCUUGUUACUUAGUUGAACGNNGGCAUUCGAAUGUACCAACACUAGUGGGCCAUUUUUGGUAAGCAGAACUGNCGAUGCGGGAUGAACCGAACGCGGGGUUAAGGUGCCAGAGUGGACGCUCAUCAGACACCACAAAAGGCGUUAGUACAUCUUGACAGCAGGACGGUGGCCAUGGAAGUCGGAAUCCGCUAAGGACUGUGUAACAACUCACCUGCCGAAUGUACUAGCCCUGAAAAUGGAUGGCGCUCAAGCGUCCCACCCAUACCCCGCCGUCAGGGUAGAAACGAUGCCCUGACGAGUAGGCGGCCGUGGGGGUCAGUGACGAAGGCCUGGGUACGGUAAUACUGUGGCAGAUACUACAAUGGACGAUCCGCA